rnacentral:misc_RNA from 1 species
AAAAAACCUGGUGCAAUGGCCCUGCAAGUUGGGAGUAUGAUUUAGAACAUCCAUUGCAAGCAAGCUGACUAGAAAAUAAAUGCAUAUAAAAACAAAAAUCAUGAACAUUUAGAGAAGGAAGUGUGCACUGGGAAGACAAUAGAUAUGUAAUUGACCAUCAGCAAUAGAAGAGAAACUUCUUAUCCCCAAAAAAAUUAAAAAUUAAAAAUUA